CUACGGGGGGCAGCAGUGGGGAAUCUUGCACAAUGGGGGAAACCCUGAUGCAGCGAUGCCGCGUGAGUGAAGAAGGCCCUUGGGUUGUAAAACUCUUUCGUCGGGGAAGAAAAUGACUGUACCCGAAUAAGAAGGUCCGGCUAACUUCGUGCCAGCAGCCGCGGUAAUACGAAGGGACCUAGCGUAGUUCGGAAUUACUGGGCUUAAAGCGCUCGUAGGUGGUUAAAAAAGUUGAUGGUGAAAUCCCAAGGCUCAACCUUGGAACUGCCAUCAAAACUUUUUAGCUAGAGUGUGAAAGAGGUAAGUGGAAUUUCUAGUGUAGAGGUGAAAUUCGUAGAUAUUAGAAAGAACACCAAAUGCGAAGGCAACUUACUGGGUCACUACUGACACUGAGGAGCGAAAGCAUGGGUAGCGAAGAGGAUUAGAUACCCCGGUAGUC
rnacentral:rRNA from 1 species